rnacentral:tRNA from 1 species
GGCUGAAUGACAGAUUGGUUAUGUUUUGGCCUGCAAAGCCAACAAGGCCGGUUCGAUUCCGGCUUCAGCCU